rnacentral:rRNA from 1 species
GCGGGAGACUUAGGUAAAUCCGGGUUUCUACUAACGCUGAGAUACGAUGUCGAGGUACUAAGGUACUGAAGUCAUUGAUGCCAUGCUUCCAGGAAAAGUCUCUAAGCUUCAGAUAAUAAAGGAUCGUACCCCAAACCGACACAGGUGGUCAGGUAGAGAAUACCAAGGCGCUUGAGAGAACUCGGGUAAAGGAACUAGGCAAAAUGGUACCGUAACUUCGGGAGAAGGUACGCCUUUGGCGGUGAUGAGACUUGCUCUCUAAGCUGCUAGAGGCCGAAGAUACCAGAUGGCUGCAACUGUUUAUUAAAAACACAGCACUCUGCUAAAUCGUAAGAUGACGUAUAGGGUGUGACGCCUGCCCGGUGCCGGAAGGUUAAUUGAUGAGGUUAGACUUAGGUCGAAGCUUUUGAUCGAAGCCCCGGUAAACGGCGGCCGUAACUAUAACGGUCCUAAGGUAGCGAAAUUCCUUGUCGGGUAAGUUCCGACCUGCACGAAUGGCGUAAUGAUGGCCAUGCUGUCUCUACCCGAGACUCAGUGAAGUUGAAAUCGCAGUGAAGAUGCUGUGUACCCGCGGCUAGACGGAAAGACCCCGUGAACCUUUACUAUAGCUUAGCAGUGAACUUAGAGCCUACAUGUGUAGGAUAGGUGGGAGGCUUUGAAGCGUUGUCGCCAGAUGACGUGGAGCCAAUCUUGAAAUACCACCCUUGUAUGUUUUGAGUUCUAACCAUGGCCCCUGAAUCGGGGUUUGGGACACUGUUUGGUGGGUAGUUUGACUGGGGCGGUCUCCUCCUAAAGAGUAACGGAGGAGUACGAAGGUUGGCUAAUCACGGUCGGACAUCGUGAGGUUAGUACAAUGGUAUAAGCCAGCUUAACUGCGAGACAGACACGUCGAGCAGGUACGAAAGUAGGUCAUAGUGAUCCGGUGGUUCUGAAUGGAAGGGCCAUCGCUCAACGGAUAAAAGGUACUCCGGGGAUAACAGGCUGAUACCGCCCAAGAGUUCAUAUCGACGGCGGUGUUUGGCACCUCGAUGUCGGCUCAUCACAUCCUGGGGCUGAAGUCGGUCCCAAGGGUAUGGCUGUUCGCCAUUUAAAGUGGUACGCGAGCUGGGUUUAGAACGUCGUGAGACAGUUCGGUCCCUAUCUGCCGUGGGCGUUUGAGAAUUGAGAGGGGCUGCUCCUAGUACGAGAGGACCGGAGUGGACGAACCGCUGGUGUUCGGGUUGUAUCGCCAGAUGCAUUGCCCGGUAGCUACGUUCGGAAUCGAUAACCGCUGAAAGCAUCUAAGCGGGAAGCGAGCCUCAAGAUGAGUUCUCACUGGAACUUUAAGUUCCCUAAAGGGCCGUUGGAGACUACAACGUUGAUAGGCAAGGUGUGUAAGUGCAGUAAUGUAUUGAGCUAACUUGUACUAAUUACCCGUGAGGCUUAACCAU